UGUGCACUAUGAACUAAGGACGCAGUCCACACCCACCGUGUGGCCCGAUUUACCUUACUGGCGGGUAGGUAGAAACCAAACAAAUAUUGUUCCUACUUCGUUUUUUUACUGAUGUUCACUGCAUACAACGCGAGGAAUCAGGGUAACAGGAUUCUUUGGCUGCAUCGAAACUUUGGAGAACUCUGAAUAAGGCUUCUUUCUGCCAUUGAGAGGUUUACUAUAUAAAAGCAACAAUGUAGUCAAACUAUGUAUGUAUGUAUAAAUGAAUGCCAGAACAACUUCGAAAUGAGCGCCGCACGCAAUACAAAAAUGGAAUAUAAAAAGUACUGAUAAGUGCAAUAAAGGAGGUAACGGCAAUGAACGAAGAAGUGAGCGAUCCACGAGGCGAUAACAACCAUUCUGUGAGAUUACAAAUCGACAUGGAACCGCAAAAACAAAAAAAAGGAAUGCGAAACAUUUAUUAUUAAAUAGAUUUUUUUUGAUUUUAAGGCAGGUACUCAAAGACAGUAUACUUCCUACCUAGACGAUGAUUCAGUGAUAACAUGCCAAUGAACCAUACUUUCUUUAACAGAAGGUAACCAACAUCACAACAAAUCUUAAGAAACAUUCUAAUGUUCAUACAUACAAAAAAAUAUGUAAGUAUGUAUUAUUUAUAUAAGUUUGUUUAUCAUCUGGCGAGACUAAAAUUCAUAUUUAUAUUGUAAUAUAUUCAUUCAUAUAUUGAUAAAGACAUUGUAAACAUGUUCAAACAUUCAUAUGAAAUAUGGUAAAAAGUUAUCGUAAGUUAUCGUAAUCAUAAAAAUCUUUUAAAGAAUUUAAUCAGCGUUAUAUGUGUAAAUAUAAAUGUAUGCACAUAAGUGCAAGGGUAAAACCUUUCCGAUAUAAAUAUACAUUCACACAGAUGUAAAAA